rnacentral:rRNA from 1 species
UGGCUCAGAUUGAACGCUGGCGGCAUGCCUUACACAUGCAAGUCGAACGGCAGCGGGCCUUCGGGUGCCGGCGAGUGGCGAACGGGUGAGUAAUGCAUCGGAACGUGCCAUUGAGUGGGGGAUAACGUAGCGAAAGUUGCGCUAAUACCGCAUAUUCUGUGAGCAGGAAAGCAGGGGACCGCAAGGCCUUGCGCUCUUUGAGCGGCCGAUGUCAGAUUAGCUAGUUGGUGAGGUAACGGCUUACCAAGGCGACGAUCUGUAGCGGGUCUGAGAGGAUGAUCCGCCACACUGGAACUGAGACACGGUCCAGACUCCUACGGGAGGCAGCAGUGGGGAAUUUUGGACAAUGGGCGCAAGCCUGAUCCAGCCAUGCCGCGUGAGUGAAGAAGGCCUUCGGGUUGUAAAGCUCUUUCGGCCGGGAAGAAAUCGCAUGGGUUAAUACCCUGUGUGGAUGACGGUACCGGAAUAAGAAGCACCGGCUAACUACGUG